rnacentral:rRNA from 1 species
UACAGAGGUCUCAAGCGUUGUUCGGAUUCCUUGGGCGUAAAGGGUGCGUAGGCGGCGCGGUAAGUCGGGUGUGAAAUCUCGGAGCUUAACUCCGAAACUGCAUUCGAUACUGCCGUGCUUGAGGACUGGAGAGGAGACUGGAAUUUACGGUGUAGCGGUGAAAUGCGUAGAUAUCGUAAGGAAGACCAGUGGCGAAGGCGGGUCUCUGGACAGUUCCUGACACUGAGACACGAAGGCCAGGGGAGCAAACGGG